UACGGGGGGGGCAAGCGUUGUUCGGAAUUACUGGGCGUAAAGGGCUCGUAGGCGGCCAACUAAGUCGGAUGUGAAAUCCCCAGGCUUAACCUGGGAAUUGCAUCCGAUACUGGAUGGCUUGAAUCCGGGAGAGGGAUGCGGAAUUCCAGGUGUAGCGGUGAAAUGCGUAGAUAUCUGGAGGAAUACCGGUGGCGAAGGCGGCAUCCUGGACCGGCAUUGACGCUGAUGAGCGAAAGCUAGGGGAGCAAACGGG
rnacentral:rRNA from 1 species